UACGAGGGGGGCAAGCGUUGUUCGGAAUUAUUGGGCGUAAAGGGUGCGUAGGCGGUUUGACAAGUCUGAUGUGAAAUCUAUGGGCUCAACCCAUAGCCUGCAUUAGAAACUGUCGGGCUUGAGUAUGGGAGAGGGAUGCGGAAUUCCAGGUGUAGCGGUGAAAUGCGUAGAUAUCGGAAGGAACACCUGUGGCGAAAGCGGCUCACUGGACCACAACUGACGCUGAUGCACGAAAGCUAGGGGAGCAAACAGG
rnacentral:rRNA from 1 species